UACGAAGGGGGCUAGCGUUGUUCGGAAUUACUGGGCGUAAAGCGCACGUAGGCGGACAUUUAAGUCAGGGGUGAAAUCCCGGGGCUCAACCUCGGAACUGCCUUUGAUACUGGGUGUCUAGAGUAUGGAAGAGGUAAGUGGAAUUGCGAGUGUAGAGGUGAAAUUCGUAGAUAUUCGCAGGAACACCAGUUGCGAAGGCGGCUUACUGGUCCAUUACUGACGCUGAGGUGCGAAAGCGUGGGGAGCAAACAGG
rnacentral:rRNA from 1 species